rnacentral:lncRNA from 1 species
UUACCGAUCAAUGAUGAUACGGCUCUGAAUGAAUUUGAAGCCAAGCUAAUAGACCCGAAAUUUCGCUCUGCUUUUAUAAAGUUUAUGGCUACCAAAGGCAGCACUAAAAAUGUGUCGCUAUGUGUAAAGAAGCUAAUGAAGGAGUUGUUAGUGGAUACGUUCGCCAUCAAUUACUGCAUGACGGGUCACCUUGGAAAAAAGCCUUUUAUGGAUAACAGAAACCUUUUUGAAUCAAUAGCAGCCGCCACAAGAAGUUUUCACCCUUCAGCUACUGAUGACCAUAUAAAACUCUAUGCCUCACAAUGGCUGACAAAAGCAAAAGAAAGAAUAAACUCCAAAGCGAAAUCACACUCUUCCUUGGAAAAUAAUCAGUCAGAGGCAGAAAACGCUGUAAAUGAGCAAAACUCAGAAGAAUCCAUCAUACUCCAAGAAGACUUAUCUCAAAAUAACUCAAGACUUUCGCCUGAAUACUCUGCUCCUAAUAACCUCAGACAUGCGCCUGAAGAUUCCUCGUCAAAUGUUGCUGCAUGUGAUCUAGGUUUGCCUGAUUUCUCACAAAUUUGGGCCGGAAGUUAUGAUGAUACAUCUGCUAGCGAACUUGUUGGUGAGGAAAGAUAUGAUGGGGAGAAUGAACGUGAUGAGAGGGAUAGAGAAGAACUUGAUGAUGCAGAAACAUAUUUCGAACGUGAUGAGAGGGAUAGAGAAGAACUUGAUGAUGAAGAAACAUAUUUCAGCGGGGGCACUGAUUUUGUUGACAUGUUUCGUUGAUUUUUUGUGUCCUUUCCUUUUUACAUUAUUUUAAUAUUUAAUGCUACAGGUGAUACUAUCUAUUAACUUUUUUUAGUCCCUGCUCUUUUCUUACUUCCCUUUUAUAGUUAUUAGUAUGGAAAUCUAGUUCAAAUUGGUACUUUCUCAACAAUUUUGUGUUAACUGCUAUUUACUAGUUAUUAUUAUGA